AUUGAACGCUGGCGGCAGGCUUAACACAUGCCAGUCGAACGGUAACAUAAAGGAGCUUGCUUCUUUGAUGACGAGUGGCGGACGGGUGAGUAAUGCUUGGGAAUCUAGCUUAUGGAGGGGGAUAACUACGGGAAACUGUAGCUAAUACCGCGUAGAAUCGGGAGAUGAAAGUGUGGGACCUUCGGGCCACAUGCCAUAGGAUGAGCCCAAGUGGGAUUAGGUAGUUGGUGAGGUAAAGGCUCACCAAGCCGACGAUCUCUAGCUGGUCUGAGAGGAUGACCAGCCACACUGGGACUGAGACACGGCCCAGACUCCUACGGGAGGCAGCAGUGGGGAAUAUUGCGCAAUGGGGGCAACCCUGACGCAGCCAUGCCGCGUGAAUGAAGAAGGCCUUCGGGUUGUAAAGUUCUUUCGGUAGCGAGGAAGGCAUUUAGUUUAAUAGACUAGGUGAUUGACGUUAACUACAGAAGAAGCACCGGCUAACUCCGUG
rnacentral:rRNA from 1 species